rnacentral:snRNA from 1 species
AUACUUGCUUCGGCAGUACAUACACUAAAAUUGGAACGAUACAGAGAAGAUUAGCAUGGCCCUUGCGCAAGGAUUACACGCAAAAUCGUGGCAUCAAGAAGGCUAAG